GGUCCUAUAGCUCAGGGGAUAGAGCAAUCGUUUCCUAAACGAUGUGUCGGAAGUUCGAAUCUUCUUAGGACCG
rnacentral:tRNA from 1 species